rnacentral:rRNA from 1 species
CCUACGGGUGGCAGCAGUGGGGCAUAUUGGGCAAUGGGCGCAAGCCUGACCCAGCAACGCCGCGUGAAGGAAGAAGGCUUUCGGGUUGUAAACUUCUUUUCUCAGGGACGAAGCAAGUGCCGGUACCUGAGGACUAAGCCACGGCUAACUACGUGCCAGCAGCCGCGGUAAUCCGUAGGUGGCAAGCGUUCUCCGGAUUUACUGGGUGUAAAGGGCGUGUAGGCGGGACUGCAAGUCAGAUGUGAAAACCACGGGCUCAACCUGUGGCCUGCAUUUGAAACUGUAGGUCUUGAGUACUGGAGAGGCAGACGGAAUUCCUAGGGUAGCGGUGAAAUGCGUAGAGAUUAGGAGGAACACCAGUGGCGAAGGCGGUCUGCUGGACAGCAACUGACGCUGAGGCGCGAAAGCGUGGGGAGCAAACAGGAUUAGAUACCCUUGUAGUC